AAGUCGUAACAAGGUUUCCGUAGGUGAACCUGCGGAAGGAUCAUUAACACGUCUAAACGUAACAACCAACCGUGAUUUCUAUACAUCACCAGUCUUUGUAUGACAGAGAUUGGAGUCUAGGCAGGGAGAUCAAGUAUUAGAUCCUCGUAUCUUUUCCCUUGUUUUCCCUGUCUUUUCACAAAUUUUAUUCCCCCCUCGAUUUCCUUUCUGUUGUUUGCAGUCUUUACAGCUCGUCUGUUCGACUCAAUCUAAAUAAUAUUUUAUUUAAAUUUAAAAACAACUCUUAGCAAUGGAUAUCUUGGUUCUC
rnacentral:misc_RNA from 1 species